CAGCUAGUUGGUGGGGUAACGGCCUACCAAGGCAACGAUCGGUAGCUGAUCUGAGAGGAUGAUCAGCCACACUGGGACUGAGACACGGCCCAGACUCCUACGGGAGGCAGCAGUGGGGGAUCUUGCGCUAAUGCGCGAAAGCGUGACGCAGCGACGCCGCGUGGGGGAUGAAGGCCCUCGGGUUGUAAACCCCUUUCGGCAGGGACGAAGGGAAACUGACGGUACCUGCAGAAGAAGUCCCGGCUAACUACGUGCCAGCAGCCGCGGUAACACGUAGGGGACGAGCGUUGUCCGGAUUCAUUGGGCGUAAAGCGCGCGUAGGCGGCUCGGAAAGUCGGGCGUGAAAUGCCGGGGCUCAACCCCGGGACUGCGUCCGAUACUUCCGAGCUGGAGGUAGGUAGGGGAGAUCGGAAUUCCUGGUGUAGCGGUGAAAUGCGCAGAUAUCAGGAGGAACACCGGUGGCGAAGGCGGAUCUCUGGGCCUUACCUGACGCUGAGGCGCGAAAGCUAGGGGAGCGAACAGGAUUAGAUACCCUGGUAGUCCUAGCCGUAAACGUUGGGUGCUAGGUGUGGGCGGACAUCGACCCCGUCCGUGCCGAAGCUAACGCAUUAAGCACCCCGCCUGGGGAGUACCGCCGCAAG
rnacentral:rRNA from 1 species